GACUGCUCCGGUAGCCUAGCGGUAAAGCAUCAGCCUCGAAUGUGGGAGGUCGUGGGUUCAAACCCUGACCAAGUUA